CUGGCGGCGUGCUUACACAUGCAAGUCGAGCGAUGAAAUUACUUCGGUAGUGAAUUAGCGGCGAACGGGUGAGGAACACGUGAGGAAUCUGCCUUCUACACUGGGAUAACUCCGGGAAACCGGGGCUAAUACCGGAUACGAAACUUGGUGGCAUCACCGAGUUUGGAAAGUUUUUCGGUAGAAGAUGACCUCGCGGCCUAUCAGCUUGUUGGUGAGGUAAUGGCUCACCAAGGCGACGACGGGUAGCCGGCCUGAGAGGGCGACCGGCCACACUGGGACUGAGACACGGCCCAGACUCCUACGGGAGGCAGCAGUGGGGAAUAUUGGGCAAUGGAGGAAACUCUGACCCAGCGACGCCGCGUGCGGGAUGAAGGCCUUCGGGUUGUAAACCGCUUUCAGUAGGGAAGAAGCGAAAGUGACGGUACCUACAGAAGAAGCACCGGCUAACUAUGUGCCAGCAGCCGCGGUAAUACAUAGGGUGCAAGCGUUGUCCGGAAUUAUUGGGCGUAAAGAGCUCGUAGGUGGUUCGUUACGUCGGAUGUGAAAAUCUGGGGCUCAACCCCAGACCUGCAUCCGAUACGGUCGAGCUAGAGUUUGGUAGGGGAGACUGGAAUUCCUGGUGUAGCGGUGGAAUGCGCAGAUAUCAGGAGGAACACCAAUGGCGAAGGCAGGUCUCUGGGCCAAUACUGACACUGAGGAGCGAAAGCGUGGGGAGCGAACAGGAUUAGAUACCCUGGUAGUCCACGCCGUAACGGUGGGCGCUAGUUGUGGNANCUUCCACGGUUUCUGCGACGCAGCUAACGC
rnacentral:rRNA from 1 species